ACACCCAGACAUGGCUGCUGCUGUGGGCCCCAGGAAGGCCCCAUAUUUGGGGUGCAUCUGCCGGGUGCCUGCGUCCCCUUCCCGUUCCCUAUCCCUGUGCCCCCCUCCCAGCUUCCUGUUUCUGUUUUGGGGCUGCAGGAACUUCCUCUUCUCAUCACGGACCAAAAUGGCUUCUUGGUCUCAGCUGAAGGCCUGGCGGGGGGCUGGUCACCCCAGCCUGAAGGACAGCCACAGAGCGAGGGGGGCUCCGAGCCUCUGGGGGCGGUGACAUCUGCCAAAGGGUGAACUGUGGCCCUUUCCCAAGAGACUCCCACAGCUCCUCCGAUGGAGCCUGUCAUGUGAGCACCUGCCCAGGCCACGGAGGGCCUGGGUCCUGCUGGAGUGACCCUAAACGGCCCCCUUGUGCCCUUCCCGCCUCACGCAAGGGACCCAAAAUAUGGAUUGCCUGGUCUCCCCUUCCUCCUGCUCCCUCCCAGGCACAUGGUGCAGACACUUACGGGCACCGUGUUGGCCUAUGUGUGUGGAUGAGCAAAUACACACACACGGGGUAGGGGGGUGCCCUGAGCCUGUGACCCCCUGAGCCGGUGACCCCUGCCUGCCAGGGAGCAGAGCUGCAGAUUCCUGGAUGCCGAGGGAAUAGAAGGCCUGGCCCGGCCUGGGCAGUACAUGGCACCAACACGGACAGCUCCUUUAAUGCCCGAUGUCCAUCCUUGUCACGGACAGGUGAGUACCCUGUGGCCAAAUGGGCAGGAGGUUGUGGAGCCUGGCACCCACACUGCAGAGAUGCCGAACUCUGGCCAGCGGCCUCCCUCCCCAAGGCCCGCUCCAUGGGGAGACAGUGAGGGGAACCCACAAAGCCUGGGGUCACUGGGUCCCCCUAGCUGGCACCUAGCUUGUGCCCCCAUUAGCACAGAGAGGAGGCGGUAAAACAAACACUCCCGACUGUUUACCCCAACAUCUCGGGGCCAUAAUUAAGCUUCCUUCAAUCGGGCCCUUAUCAGCCCGGUAUCUUGAGCAGCCUCUGACGGGGAAACAUCCCGGAGCAUCUAACGAAGGAAAGUUGGACGCCUUUUGAGACUUUUUAAAUCCUGA
rnacentral:lncRNA from 1 species